GACGAACGCUGGCGGCGUGCUUAACACAUGCCAGUCGAACGGAAAGGCCCUGCUUUUGUGGGGUGCUCGAGUGGCGAACGGGUGAGUAACACGUGAGUAACCUGCCCUUGACGUUGGGAUAACUUCAGGAAACUGGGGCUAAUACCGGAUAGGAGCUCCUGCUGCAUGGUGGGGGUUGGAAAGGUUCGGCGGUGGGGGAUGGACUCGCGGCUUAUCAGCUUGUUGGUGGGGUAGUGGCUUACCAAGGCUUUGACGGGUAGCCGGCCUGAGAGGGUGACCGGCCACAUUGGGACUGAGAUACGGCCCAGACUCCUACGGGAGGCAGCAGUGGGGAAUAUUGCACAAUGGGCGGAAGCCUGAUGCAGCACCGCCGCGUGCGGGAUGACGGCCUUCGGGUUGUAAACCGCUUUCGCCUGUGACGAAGCGUGAGUGACGGUAAUGGGUAAAGAAGCACCGGCUAACUACGUG
rnacentral:rRNA from 1 species